rnacentral:tRNA from 1 species
UGUGUCUAGCUUCACAUAGGUGCCAGUGCUGAGAAAGAACUGCCUGAAAAUGUUUCACUGCAAGGGAAGUAGCAACAUUGUAGCUUCACUCAAAACAGCACUUGAGAUAGCCUGCUGUAUUCAUUUUAUCCACUGCUUCCUUUUUGUUUAUGUGGGGAAUUAGCUCAAAUGGUAGAGCGCUCGCUUAGCAUGCGAGAAGUAGCGGGAUCGAUGCCCGCAUUCUCCAAAACUUUUCUCGUCCCAGCGCGUGGCAAAAUUUAAGUAAACGUGAGUAAACAUUACUUUGUGGCGAUAUUUCGCGUUAUAGCUUAUACCACGCGUUAUAGCGGUAGCCUGAUAUAGUAAAGAUUUACUUUCCUUAACUUUUCCUGCUCAUCUCUAUGGUAAGUCUUAUCGCUAUGGGUGUAAUAUAUUCGACAUAGCAAUUAGGAUCUGGCUAAAAAUACCUGAAUCAGUUAUAGAACCCAUUGCCCUUUAUGGUUGUGAGGUAUAGGGUCCGCUCACCAACCAAGAAUUCACAAAAUGGGACAUACACCAAAUUGAGACUGCAUGCAGAAUUCUGCAAAAAUAUCCUCAGUGUACAACGUAAAACACCAAAUAAAGCAUGCAGAGCAGAAUUAGGGCGAUACCCGCUAAUUAUCAAAAUCCAGAAAAGAGCCUUUAAAUUCUACAACCACCUAAAAGGAAGCGAUUCCCAAACCUUCCACAACAAAGACAUCACCUACAGAGAGAUGAACCUGGAGAAGAGUCCCCUAAGCAAGCUGGUCCUGGGGCUCUGUUCACAAACACAAACAGACCCCACAGAACCAAAUGACAGCAACAAAAUUAGACCCAACCAAGUUAUGAGAAAACAAAAAGAUAAUUACUUGACACAUUGGAAAGAAUAAAAAAAAACUGAGCAAACUAGAAUUAUAUUUCGCACUAAACAGAGAGUACACAGUGGCAUAGUACCUGACCACUGUGAUUGACCCAAAUUUAAGGAAAUCUUUGACUUGCUAUUGAGAAAGGCCACCGUAGUCUAUGUGCACACAGCCCACAAAAUGAGGUGGAAACUGAGCUGCACUUCCUGACCUGCCAAAUGUAUGACCAUAUUAGAGACACAUAGUGUGCCAUCACAGCAGCAAGAUUUGUGACCCGUUGCCACAAGAAAAAGAUCAACAAGUGAAGAACAAACAGCAUUGUAAAUACAACCCAUAUUUCUGUUUAUUUAUUUUCCCUUUUGUACUUUAAUAAGGAUCAGACCUUCUUUUUUUUUUUUUGUCUAAAAUGACAUACCCAAAUCUCUGCCUGUAGCUCAGGACCUGAAGCAAGGAUAUGCAUAUUCUUGGUACCAUUUGAAAGGAAACACUUUGAAGUUUGUGGAAAUGUGAAAUGAAUGUAGGAGAAUAUAACACAUUAGAUCUGGUAAAAGAUAAUACAAAGAAAAAAACGUGAUUAUUUUUUGUACCAUCAUCUUUAAAAUGCAAGAGAAAGGCCAUAAUGUAUAAUUCCAGCCCAGGUGCAAUUUUGAUUUUGUCCACUAGAUGGCAGCAGUGUAUGUGUCAACGUUGUAGACUGAUCCAAUGAACCAUUGCAUAUCUGUUCAAAAUAUUGUAUCAAGGCUGCCCAAAUGUGCCUAAUUGGUUUAUUAAUACAUUUUCAAGUUCGUAAGUGCACUCUCCUCAAACAAUAACAUGGUGUUCUUUUACUGUAAUAGCUACAAUGGACAGUGCAGUUAGAUUAACAAGAAUUUAAGCUUUCUGCCCAUAUCAGAUAUGACCUGGGAUUUUUGCUAAUCACAUUAGCCUACAUUAGCUCAACCGUUCCGCGGGGGGUACACUGAUCCCGUAGAGGUUUAAGUUUGUUAUUACAGACCGAUCUGGCAUUUCACCAUCUGGAAACAACACAACUGCAAUUGUUUUCUCUCAUUUAUGUCCAAGAUAGCUAGCCACAAAGCUAACUAGCUAGCAGAGCAGCACUCCCCAAAAAGACAGGUGUCACUUUUGCUUUUGGAACUUUCUAAUCAUCUCUUAAGUUGUUUAGCAUGCGAUCACACUAGCUACAUAUAUUUAGCUAAAAAGACUGUUGAUGAAAUGGAUUGCUUUCUUUGUAGCUAGCUAUCUAGCUUGGUUGUAGGCUAGUACAGUAACGUUACAGUAGCUAGCUAAGUUACACCUUUACUGAAUGACAACAAUGCAGCCUGAAAAUUUCUGUCUAGCUAGUUGGGCUUAGAAAUUGAUAAAUGAACAUAUGGAGAGAUCACAAAUUCAUGCAGCUGUGGUGGUGUCAAUUGUUUAGCUAUUUCCCUGCUUUAAAGAGUGAAAAUACUCAAGCCUUUAUCCAUACCAGCAGGUCUCCCAUGAAAAAGUAGUCUUCAAUGGGACAACCAGGAGAGGGAUGACAUGCAUGACCUGGCUCUCCUCUGCUGAGACCGAUCCGGGCCCAGCAGCGCAGGCCCAGCUCUAACAGUGGUUCUCCCUACAGGCUGUCCUGUUUCCCUCCCCUUUGGCACCAGCUCCUGACACAACAAAAGAGGAUUGCUCUGAAGAGUUCCUGCUGGAUACAGAGAUGAGGUUGCCUUUUCAUCAUGGACCACGGCCCAUGGACAGAGCCCAUUAGAACUGCCAGUGAUGUCCUACUGGUCAAGCACCACGGGGAGGAAGAGACCCUGAAGUGGACGCACAGCUGUGACAUUAUGUUACUGCAGAGAGUAACGUAAUGCCACAUCCCCUUCCACCUGCACUUCCACAGCAGAAAACCUCACCAAUUCAAGGAUACCAUUUGAGGAUUUUGCUGCGGCUGCCUUCUUUCAAUGGGAGCUGGAGGCCUCGAUGCAGAGGAAGGAGUGAGGAAUGGACGAACUGAGAAAAGAAAAAAUCCUUAGAGCAGCAUCCCUCCGGCCGUCUGUACAGGUUCUGCCACCAGCCGCUGAAACAAGGCCCCAACAGCCCUCACACACAUACCGGCUUUCCUUGAGUGGCAGGAAAAGAUCUACUGCCUAGCCAAAGUGUUUUCCCUGUACCUUGCACUGGGCUUUGGAGGGAGCUCCAACAGUCUGCCUUUUAUGAGACUGAAAGGUGGAGAUGGAGGGUGAAGAAGGGGGAGUGACUCUACAGACACACACACAGAAAUAAAUAGGAGCUGAAAAUCUAUUUCCAUUAAUGGAAGUGGUUUGGACUCGUUUGAUUUGUAUUUAUUUCACAGGUACUGUCCAUUCUUUUACAUUACUGUACAUACAUUGCUGGAUAUCACUGUAUAUAUUAUUGUCCAUUACUAUUUUGUGUAAAUGUUACACAAAGGCCAACCAUUUAUUCUAAUCGCGGUGAAUAUGUCUUGUAUCAUAAACUAAUUGCUAUAGUUAGUGUGUGAAUAAGUUUGUUAUAUGAAGGGUUGUGCUCCAACACUAUCAUAACUAUGGCUUUGAUUUCAUUCGAGUAAACCUCAAAGUAAUAUUCUCUAUGAGCUGCUUUAGAGUUGUCUUUAUGAGUAAGACACAUGCCUUUCCAUUGUGCUCUAACACUCAUAAAUAUUCCUUUGAUUUCAUUCUAUUAAACCUCAACGUAAAGCAAUCUUCUCUUGUUUCUAAUAUUGUCUUUAUAUGCAUCAAAGGGAAAGGAAAGGGGGUUACCUAGUCAAUUGUACAACUGAAUGCAUU